rnacentral:rRNA from 1 species
GACGAACGCUGGCGGCGUGCCUAAUACAUGCAAGUAGGACGCAGUUGCGAACGGGCGAGUAACGCGUAGGUAACUGCCUAUCAGAGGGGGAUAACUAUUGGAAACGAUAGCUAAUACCGCAUACUAGUAGAUGGACCUGCGUUGUAUUAGCUAGUAGGUAGGGUAAUGGCCUACCUAGGCGACCAUACAUAGCCGACCUGAAGGGGGGAGCGGCCCAGCGGGGACUGAGACACGGCCCAGACUCCAACGGGAUGCAGCAGUAGGGAAUCUUCGGCAAUGGGGGGAACCCGGACCGAGCAACGCCGCGUGAGUGAAUAAGGUUUUCGGAUCGUAAAGCUCUGUUGUUAAGGAAGCGGUACUUAACCAGAAAGGGACGGCUAACUACGUGCCAGCAGCCGCGGUAAUUC